CAGUCGCCGCGGGAACACGGAGGGUGCAAGCGUUAAUCGGAAUUACUGGGCGUAAAGCGCGCGUAGGCGGUUACUCAAGUCAGAGGUGAAAGCCCGGGGCUCAACCCCGGAACUGCCUUUGAAACUAGGUGACUAGAAUCUUGGAGAGGUCAGUGGAAUUCCGAGUGUAGAGGUGAAAUUCGUAGAUAUUCGGAAGAACACCAGUGGCGAAGGCGACUGACUGGACAAGUAUUGACGCUGAGGUGCGAAAGCGUGGGGAGCAAACAGGAUUAGAUACCCCGGUAGUCCCUGUCUCUUAUAC
rnacentral:rRNA from 1 species